GACGAACGCUGGCGGCGUGCUUAACACAUGCAAGUCGAGCGGUAAGGCCCCAGCUUGCUGGGGGACACGAGUGGCGAACGGGUGAGUAACACGGGGGUGACCUGCCCCGCACUUCGGGAUAAGCCGGGGAAACUGGGUCUAAUACCGGAUAGGACCGCACCGUGAGGGGGGGGUGGAAAGUUUUUCGGGGUGGGAUGGGCCCGCGGCCUAUCAGCUUGUUGGUGGGGUAAUGGCCUACCAAGGCGGCGACGGGUAGCCGGCCUGAGAGGGUGGACGGCCACAUUGGGCCUGAGACACGGCCCAGACUCCUACGGGAGGCAGCAGUGGGGACUAUUGCACAAUGGGCGGAAGCCUGAUGCAGCGACGCCGCGUGGGGGAUGACGGCCUUCGGGUUGUAAACUCCUUUCACCAUCGACGAAGGUUUUCUGACGGUAGAUGGAGAAGAAGCACCGGCUAACUACGUG
rnacentral:rRNA from 1 species